rnacentral:rRNA from 1 species
CCUACGGGAGGCAGCAGUGAGGAAUAUUGGUCAAUGGACGAGAGUCUGAACCAGCCAAGUAGCGUGAAGGACGACUGCCCUAUGGGUUGUAAACUUCUUUUAUAUGGGAAUAAAAUGUUCCACGUGUGGGAUUUUGUAUGUACCAUAUGAAUAAGGAUCGGCUAACUCCGUGCCAGCAGCCGCGGUAAUACGGAGGAUCCGAGCGUUAUCCGGAUUUAUUGGGUUUAAAGGGAGCGUAGGUGGAUUGUUAAGUCAGUUGUGAAAGUUUGCGGCUCAACCGUAAAAUUGCAAUUGAUACUGGCAGUCUUGAGUACAGUAGAGGUAGGCGGAAUUCGUGGUGUAGCGGUGAAAUGCUUAGAUAUCACGAAGAACUCCGAUUGCGAAGGCAGUUCACUGGACUGCAACUGACACUGAGGCUCGAAAGUGUGGGUAUCAAACAGGAUUAGAUACCCCAGUAGUC